rnacentral:misc_RNA from 1 species
GAUGAAGAACGUAGCGAAAUGCGAUAAGUAAUGUGAAUUGCAGAAUUCAGUGAAUCAUCGAAUCUUUGAACGCACCUUGCGCUCUUUGGUAUUCCGAAGAGCAUGCCUGUUUGAGUGUCAUGAAAAUAUCAACCUUGACUUGGGUUUUGUGCUCUAGUCUCGGCUUGGAAUUGGGUGCUUGCCGCUUUUACGAGCGGCUCACCUUAAACGUAUUAGCUGGAUCUGUCUUUGAGACUUGGUUUGACUUGGCGUAAUAAGUAUUUCGCUAAGGACAUUCUUCGGAGUGGCCUCGUUUCUAGGACGCUUGUCCGCUUUCCAAUACAAGUUCCACCUCGUGGACAUGACUUUUUAUUAUCUGGCCUCAAAUCAGGUAGGACUACCCGCUGAACUUAAGCAUAUCAAUAAGCGGAGGA